GACAGAGGGUGCAAACGUUGUUCGGAAUUACUGGGCGUAAAGCGCGCGUAGGCGGCUUUGCAAGUCGGGUGUGAAAGCCCUCAGCUCAACUGAGGAAGUGCGCCCGAAACUGCAGAGCUUGAGUACCGGAGAGGAUGGCGGAAUUCCCCAAGUAGAGGUGAAAUUCGUAGAUAGUGGGGAGGAACACCGGUGGCGAAGGCGGCUCCCUGGGCCAUUC
rnacentral:rRNA from 1 species